CUAGUUGUGACCGUAAACGAUGCCAACCAGCGAUUCGGCGACGUUCUUUUUAUGACUCGCUGAGCAGCUUCCGGGAAACCAAAGUUUUUCGGUUCCGGGGGAAGUAUGGUUGCAAAGCUGAAACUUAAAGGAAUUGACGGAAGGGCACCACCAGGAGUGGAGCAUGCGGCUUAAUUUGACUCAACACGGGAAAACUCACCCGUCCCGAACACUGUGAGGAUUGACAGAUCAAGAGCUCUUUCUUGAUUCAGUGGGUAGUGGUGCAUGGCCGUUCUUAGUUGGUGGAGCGAUUUGUCUGGCUAAUUCCGAUAACGAACGAGACUCUGGCCUACUAACUAGCGGCGGUGUUCAUGUCUCCUGAAUGGCCGCGGACGGUUGUGCGCUCGUCGUAGCAGCCUCUGCGCGCUCUUUGGAGCAGCAGCGCCGGCAGCCGCUUCUUAGAGGGACCAGCGACACUUUCGCAAGCCGCACGAGAAAGAGCAAUAACAGGUCUGUGAUGCCCUUAGAUGUACGGGGCUGCACGCGUGCUACACUGACGGCGUCAGCGUGCGUUCAAGCCCGGCCUGCCAAGGUCGGGAAAUCGGUGGAAACGUUCUCGUGACUGGGACAGGGAAUUGAAAUUAUUUCCCUCGAACGAGGAAUUCCCAGUAAGCGCGAGUCAUCAGCUUGCGUUGAUUA
rnacentral:rRNA from 1 species